rnacentral:rRNA from 1 species
AUUGAACGCUGGCGGCAGGCCUAACACAUGCAAGUCGAACGAGUGGGGGAAGGGGGAGAAAGGUCUGGGAAACGGCCCGAUGGAGGGGGAUAACUCAGGGAAACGGUAGCUAAUACCGCAUACCAUCGGAUGUGCCCAGAUGGGAUUAGCUAGUAGGUGGGGUAACGGCUCACCUAGGCGACGACCCCUAGCUGGUCUGAGAGGAUGACCAGCCACACUGGAACUGAGACACGGUCCAGACUCCUACGGGAGGCAGCAGUGGGGAAUAUUGCACAAUUGGCGCAAGCCUGAUGCAGCCAUGCCGCGUGUAUGAAGAAGGCCUUCGGGUUGUAAAGUACUUUCAGCGAGGAGGCGUUACUCGCAGAAGAAGCACCGACUAACUCCGUGCCAGCAGCCGCGGUAAUUC